rnacentral:rRNA from 1 species
AAACUUUUCAGCUAGAGUUGAUAGAGGAAAGCAGAAUUUCUAGUGUAGAGGUGAAAUUCGUAGAUAUUAGAAAGAAUACCAAUUGCGAAGGCAGCUUUCUGGAUCAUUACUGACACUGAGGAACGAAAGCAUGGGUAGCGAAGAGGAUUAGAUACCCUCGUAGUCCAUGCCGUAAACGAUGUGUGUUAGACGUUGGAAAUUUAUUUUCUGUGUCGCAGCGAAAGCGAUAAACACACCGCCUGGGGAGUACGACCGCAAGGUUAAAACUCAAAUGAAUUGACGGGGACCCGCACAAGUAGUGGAGCAUGUGGUUUAAUUCGAAGAUACGCGCAGAACCUUACCAACACUUGACAUGUUCGUCGCGACUUUAAGAGAUUAAAGUUUUCGGUUCGGCCGGACGAAACACAGGUGCUGCAUGGCUGUCGUCAGCUCGUGUCGUGAGAUGUUGGGUUAAGUCCCGCAACGAGCGCAACCCUCACUUUUAGUUGCCAUCAUUUAGUUGGGCACUCUGAAAGAACUGCCAGUGAUAAGCUGGAGGAAGGUGGGGAUGACGUCAAGUCCUCAUGGCCCUUACGUGUUGGGCUACACACGUGCUACAAUGAUAUCUACAACAGGAAGCAAGACGGCGACGUUAAGCAAAUCCUUAAAAGAUAUCUCAGUUCGGAUUGCACUCUGCAACUCGAGUGCAUGAAGCUGGAAUUACUAGUAAUCGUGGAUCAGCGUGCCACGGUGAAUGCGUUCCCGGGUCUUGUACACACCGCCCGUCACACCAUGGGAGUUGGUUCUACCUUAAGGCAAGGUUUAAUACCCUUGACCACGGUAUAGUCAGCGACUGGGGUGAAGUCGUAACAAGGUAACCGUA